CGGCUUCCUCUUCUUGCCGGCUCCGGCGCCCUGUAUCCCGGUACCCGCCUCAGGCUCUACCGCAGUUCGAAUAGCAGCUAAACCCCCAUCCAUCGUUCAGCUCUCCUGCUGUGUGUUUUACAAUAGAGGUGGUAUCAAAAGGUUUCAAGACUAGUUUUAUAACAUGACAACAGAUGGCAGCACAAGCAGUCACAGAGAGCACCGACCUUCAUAAGUCAGUGUGCCAAAAGACAUCAUCCUGUGUUCAUUUGGAGGACAUCUUCCCAUGUCUGCGAUUUCAUCACGGACAGCAAGAUAAUGAAGCUCCAGCUCGAUGGUCGUCAUUUCGACAACAUAGCCGAGGUCCAGCUUGAAUCGCAGAAGGUGCUUGACGCACUUCCAAAAGAAGAUUUUUUUGGUCUUGUAAACAUAUCUAAUUGAAAGUUUUUUAAACUACCUUGUAUAAGCUUUCAUAAAUAUUCAGCACCUCAAUCUCAAGGAUAUUACCACAGACAUCUAAGUAUAGUCUUCUCUUAUAAAUUAAAAUGAAUUUUUGAUCUUAGGAGGUACAGCGACAUCUAGUGGUUAACAAAAAUUAAAGCAUCCAUUCAAUAAAGCACUAUCACUCCAAGUGAAUCAUUUGAUGUUUGUUCAAUUUCAAUGGAGAUCAAACCUAGAGAACAAUUUAUUAACACUUACUUUUUAUUUAUUUUUAAAUUAUUGGUAAUCUUUAGCGCUCUUUAGAUGUGGUGGUGGACUUGAAAUGAGACAAUUUUUCUGUGCCAUUGAGCGAAUAGUGUCUGGGGUCUCUCCCAUUAACUUUUUAACAAAAAGGUUCAAAUAUAUGCCUUGACAAAAUGGUUAUUUUGGAUAUCAAGGGGUAAAUUGGCAGGUGCUCAAGCACCCUUAGCACCAGCCCACCCCAACCCCUAUUUACGUACAGUACAUAUCACAACUGAUUUACCAACAUUUUCUUUGCACUA